CUUUCCGCAAAAAUAGCGCGGUACACUUGAAGCUAAACAACCAUCUUUCAAUUAUAUUGGGCUGAAAACUGACCACAGCGGAAACAGUCAUUGCUGGAGGUGAAAACUAAAGGGAACGCUGCAGACUGCUGAAGGUGGAACUUUUGCCAGUGAGGCAAAGAACCCACAGGCUCACACCAACAUAUGGACAACAUGAUGCCAACAGCUACAGAAUCUGUGUCAGAGGCUGGUGCAGGCAACUCUCCUGCUAAAACCAGAAGUCCAAAGAAGGGCAUGAAGCCACUUGCCACAAGCAAUGAUGGAGGCACAAAAAUUAUUGUCACAGAAUCUCUCCCAGAAAUCAAGGGAAAGACCGCUGGAAAGCGUAAAGGGCGUGUGAUUGCUUCCCGGUACAAGGAGUCGGCGAAAAGCCGCGCCGUGGCCACUCCGACCAAGAUGUCCGACUCGUCGUCCAUCUCGAUCAACCAGAGCAAGCUCUUCUCGACGGCUAC